UCGGUUUAUAGCCGGUUUAGCCGUAUUUGCCGUAUUUGCCUCGCGAAUUUUGCAGUCGCCAUCUUGUCCACACCUCGCUUCAGAUCGGAAAAAAUAAAGCUGCGGAGAAAUUACCAGAAAAAUCUCUAUAAUACUCAGCUCCUCGGUUGCGUGGUGACCAGUUUAUUUUAGUAAAAACAGAAAAAACAAUCCUUCGACCAUUCGAUUCCCUUGUGUUCGGUAUAGGCGGCGGCGGUGACAGUGAGAGCUGGCGGAAGUCUAUCGAAAGCGUUUACGGCACGUAGACAAAGUACACCGUGGACCCGACCAUCAGCGAGGCAGAUGUCAUUUCCCUCGAUACUGCGAUAACUACGCAGAUUACUUGGUAGCUUUCAACUACGUCAUCCUUCGUCGAUCUUUGCAUAUCACCAUUUCCGUACACCCUCUAAAGCCAUCGGAGAUAAUGAUGCUAGUCAUCACCUAGGCCAUCGCUACGAAAAAUGAGCUUUUUGGAAAGGCCACUUCUGGAUCCAAUACAGAGAUAUUUAACCGUUCCGCAACAAAACUUUGCCUUCGGUAACGAAUACAUCAGCAUAAAAGGAUGGCUGGGAAAGCUCCGUUCAACGCUUGCCGAAUGGCAUAAAUGCUCUGAGCGGCGCAACACGGGUCUACAAUUUACGAAGCUUUUCGGUCUGGAUUUCUUGGAUUCGGGCAGAAUGCUUUACCCACCAUUGCUUUCCAAUAUGUGCAUUGAAUUGAACCUCACUACCAGUGCUUCUUGCUCCCACUAGAGCCAAACGGCAAUUAUGUCUGGAGGCAACCGACGCGACAGUUUCCCUUGGGUAUUCUCAUGGGAAUCCGAAUGAAAUCACGGGAGGAUUCCGGAUAAAAUACCUAUAGGAUUCAAAACCGAAUCCUCAAGUAUUCUUAUUUUAA